GGGGAUUUAGCACAAUGGUAGUGUAUAACUUUUCAAUAAAAUUAUCUGGUUUGGUAAAGACUGUAGGUUCGAUUCAUAUAAUCCCCA
rfam:Entamoeba invadens IP1 unplaced genomic scaffold scaff_1105074724366, whole genome shotgun sequence.